rnacentral:rRNA from 1 species
UACAGAGGGGGCAAGCGUUGUUCGGAAUUACUGGGCGUAAAGGGCGCGUAGGUGGUUUGUUAAGUCUGAUGUGAAAGCCCUGGGCUCAACCUGGGAAUUGCACUGGAUACUGGCAGGCUAGAGUGCGGUAGAGGAUGGCGGAAUUCCCGGUGUAGCAGUGAAAUGCGUAGAGAUCGGGAGGAACAUCCGUGGCGAAGGCGGCCAUCUGGACCAGCACUGACACUGAGGCACGAAAGCGUGGGGAGCAAACAGG